rnacentral:lncRNA from 1 species
CUGGAUUGAUGACUGAAGCCACAUGAGGCUCUCGGAAAUAAUGGCUUGGGGAGCUUGGCAGUGGCCCUUGGUCGCAAAACAAAGCAUAUGUGUGAGCCAAAGAAAUCUGAUUUUGUUGGUUCUAUAAUUUAACUUUCUAUCUCAGAGCUUCCACGGCUUCAUCCAAAGGACACUCCUAACAUGCGUCCAUAAAGCCAAGAGAUCAGAGAAAGGAGCAAUUUGAUUUCUUAAGUGCUUCCUUUUCUGAGAAAAUACAAGGUUAUCUCUCCUUAAUGAUUUGCAAUUAAAAUCAUUCAGGUAAUUAUGUUGAAUGAAUAAUGUAUCUCUUCAUCUCA